CGGCGGACGGGUGAGUAACACGUGGAUAACCUACCUAUAAGACUGGGAUAACUUCGGGAAACCGGAGCUAAUACCGGAUAAUAUAUUGAACCGCAUGGUUCAAUAGUGAAAGACGGUUUUGCUGUCACUUAUAGAUGGACCCGCGCCGCAUUAGCUAGUUGGUAAGGUAACGGCUUACCAAGGCAACGAUGCGUAGCCGACCUGAGAGGGUGAUCGGCCACACUGGAACUGAGACACGGUCCAG
rnacentral:rRNA from 1 species